GUGCCCUGUGAUACUCCUGCCUCAGCCUGCUGAGUAGCUGGGAUUACAGGCAUAUGCUAUGAUGCCUGGUUUGCUCUUCUAAAAUUUUAAUAAGACAUUUUGAAACAGACCAAGCAAGACAAAUAGUGCUCUCACCUCAGUGGCCAAUAGCAGAGGCUAUGACUCUAAGCUGUGGGUCCUUAAUCAACCUUAGGGAGCAAGACCUGAAUUACAAGGGCCAAACAUCUGACCUGAGUGUCUGUCCUGUGUCCUUAACAGUCAGGACAUCUCUGGCUGUGGAUUCUCCCGUAGAGCAACAGCACAGCCUCAGAACCUGUCCUCUCCCCUAUGUUCUUACCCUUUGGCACUUUGGUAAGAAAAACUAGGACGCCUUAGGGCUAGGCCUGGGGAGCCAGUCUUGGGGGAUGGCAGCAAAUUCACACGGUAAUUUUGAGCCCCUUACAUGAAAUGAACAAUAAGGCUGAGCACAUGACAGCAGUGGUUAGAAACCAGAGGGGCUUCUUUAUGUGUUUUUCUCUUCUGCUCCUGGUGACCACCGCCAGGGCUUUACUGUAAGCAGCACCAGGCCCUCCGUGCGGAUGAACUGUGUUGGAUCAGGGCUUUUUUCUGAACAGGCAGGCCCAGGGUGGUUUUGCCACAGCAUCAGGCAACCUGUUCAGAAGGUCCUGACAUAGGCUACUGUGCUUGGGGUUAGACAACAUUUCAGCAUACGGCGGGUUACUGUGGGAAUGAGACAGAGGGAGAGCAUGGAGGGGGUGAGCCACGCAUGUCAUAGUGGAGGCUCCUGAAGAAGAGUUACUAGCUGUGCUCUCACAGCAGAUGGCAUUUGGUCUUAAAUGUACCCGCUCCUGAUUUUUGCCUUGGAAACUGAAGAACAGCACAGCCCCCGUUCUGAUAUUUUCAGGAAUGGGAGAGAAACAAGAGGAGGAAGCCAGGGACCAUCGGGAGCAGUGGCUGGGCAGCUGUCCCCAGAGCCUGACCAGUUACUGUUCCUGCUCAGAGCCCCGCAGGGGAAGCACAGCCUCAGUGCUGGGAGCUGGGGUCAGCCCACACCGUCAUAUUCCAGGGCCUGGCUGCUGAAGUUGCAAAGGUGUUUGAAGAAUGCUUCAGUGGCCUGGGGCUUUUGGCUCCCUUCUGGAAACUUAUAAAGAAGUGCUGGCCUUACACGCUUUCUCUCAUGAGGAGCAUAAAGCUUUUGUCUUUCAAAUCCAUUUCCUAAGAAGAGGCAAGACUUUCUUAGCCCAGACAACAGAAAGGCUUGGAGUUGGGAAGGAGAAAUAGAGGAAGAAUUUGCAAAAGCUACUUGGAGAGGACCAGUGCAUGCGCACUCUGGGAUUUUUCAGUGUUGGGCUCAUCUUCUGUUAGUCCCCCGCCCCACCAAGUGGUAUGUGCAUCGGAGAGGAAGGAGAUUGUACACUGUGAGCUGCUGCUUUGGAAAUCUCAGAGAAAAUCCCCUGGGCUGGUGCCUGGCACAGAGAGGCUGAGCAGCCUGCGUCCAGACUGCAGUCAUCAAAGGAAUGAUAUAGAUAAGCAGUUAGCCUUUAAUGCAUGCACUUCUGAAGCGGCGGAAGGCUGUUUCUCUUGGGGUUUCCAAGGGUCUAAGGAAGGGGGAGCUUUUCUGCUAACCAGGUGGCCCCAGAGUGGUUUUCCUGAUUCAGAGAAAUAAACUACGUGAAUAAAUUUUAUAGGGUAAAUUUCGUAUCCAUCUCACGUACUUAGCAAGUAUCCAGGACUUAGUGAGCACACAAUAGAGAAUGUAUUCCUUUCUCUUUCCUGUCUCCUUUCGACAGGGAUCUACCUAAGUCUUGCAACCAGUUGAAAACCUUUCCCUAUUAAAAACAAAAUCAAGAAAAACCAGGAAAGAUAUGCUCCUCUGCUUGCUAAUCAGACACGAACAUUGUAUUUAUUAUGUUAGGCUCCUACUAAGAUGGUAAACUAGAUCAGGCUGCUUGCUAAUCAGCACUGCAGAAACAGGAGCAAGAGGGGGAUGGACAUUUGAGAAACAUUUGUGGAACAAAACAAUAACUAAAGAGAAAACAAGACUCCCAGUAUGAGAUCGUCUGGGAAGAUCCUCUUGAGCUGCUGCGCAUAGGUGGAGGUGCUGAGACCAGGGUGAAGCAUCCAGAAGGAACAGUAAAGACACUGAUCACAGAGAAGCAAGCAUUGGGAGGGCUGUCCUUGCAUGGUCCCCAGUGAAGCCUCAUGACAGUGUGGCCUGCCCUUUCAGUAUAGAGCACACUGAUCAGAGCCUGGACUACUGGUGCAGCUGUCUGCAGGACAAAUUUGUGGCCAUGUAAAAAGCCUGGCAGAGAGCACUGUCAACUGAGCAGCUAACCUCCCUCUCCACACACUCAAGAGAAGGGCUGCCUCCUGUCACUACUGCUUAGCAUGAAGGGUUAACUAAGAAAUGCUGACCAGAGUUGUCUGCCGGCUCCAGGUUAACAGCUUAGAUGAUCAGAUGUGACACCUUGGCAUGUGGGACUCUCCAUCGACACCACUGGGCUUUUCCAAUAUGUGGUACAAAAUAGAGUAGAGGACACGCCCCCAGGUAGAGAAAGAAGAAACAGAAGAUGGCAAGCAAAAUAACUACUGCAAGACAAGUACCAAAUAAAUAAACUGUUUUCUGUUACUAUGACUAAUUAUUGGAGAUAAGGAAAUUUAUAAAGAAAAUAGGCUGAGAAGAGUAAGGUUGAAGGACCACUUCUUGUGGGCUUCUUGUUGGUGGGGAUCCCUGCAGACUCCACGAGCAGAACAUCACAUGGUGAGGCAGAGCAAGCUUGCUGCUUUGAAUCUUUUGUCCUUAUAAAGCCACCAGUCGCAUUAUGGGUGCCCUAACUUCAUGCCUCAUUUAAUCCCAAUUAUCUCCCUGGGGCACCACCUCCUGUGACCAUUAAAGUAGGAUUUGGAGGAGUAAGUUUCCAAUACCCCAAAUCGUGAGACAUUCAAACCGAAGCACAAAUAGACAAAUUGUGCAAUCAUUAUCUGCAGAAGUAUUUGAAAUAAACAUUCUGAAUAUAACUAAAGACAUAUCUAAUAUUAUGUUAAAAUAGAUUUCAUGUUUUAAAAAUAUAUCUAAACAAAUAAUUGAUUAAUCGAAUUUUUAAGUCAUAAAAAAGAACUAAGUAAAACAGUAGGUCUAAAAAAGUCAAGCAAGCAAAUAAAACACAUAUAAGGGAUAAGGAGUGGUGGAAUGUAUAUAUCUAAAGAGCAGUUGAUGAGUUAGCAGAUAGGAUCGAAAGGCUUUUCUAGAAUGUGACAGAAAAGAGUAAGAGCAGAAAGAAAAUACAGAUCUUAAAAAUUAAGCUAAAGAAAUAGAACGGAGAAAGACAUUCAUGUAUAGAGAGAUCUAAAAGCAAACAGAAAAGUGUAAGAAAAGAUGAUAUUUGGAGGGAACAUGCAGACAUAUUUUCAAGAAUUAAAGAAUUCUAUCCAACCAAUCUAUUAAUCAAAUGUAAAGACACAAUAAGCAUAUUGUGUCUUGAAUGUAUAAACCUUCAGCAAUUUUGCCACAGAAAGAUUCAUAUUGAAAACACUUUGUGGCUGGUCCGAUGGCAGUGGGUUAUCAGAACUUAUUAACAUUAGUGUCACUAAAGUUGGUAUACCACCCCCCCACUGCUAAAUUUGACUGGCUAAAAAAAAAAAAAAAGAAAAGAAAACACUUUGUGAAGAAGCACUUCCAUAAUAAGAAAUAAAUCUAGACUGCUAGCUAGUAGGUAGAAAUUUUUAGAGUGAAGCACCCAAGCUUGACAGGUAAGAUACUGCUGCCCCCAAAGACAACUGCUGACAUCACUUCAAGUCAUGUCUGUUUCAGAUGGGCCUUCCAAAGAACCAAUUUAAAUCAGCCAAAAUCACUCAGUCCCUCCAGUUAUCUAGAGAAAAUCUUGUUCAUUAUAAUCUCAUUAGAAAGCUAACUUCUCUGCCCUUAGGCAAUCCUGUUUGACAUUUUCAAACAAGCAGUGUGUAAAGGAACUUGAUCUCAAACUCCCCAUGCUCAGGAAUGUGCCUGCCUCUAUACAUGAUGCUGUCUUUCUAGUACAAACGUGUGAAAGUCUUGCCAAUAAAAAUCCCUGUUGGUUUGGCUUAGACAGACAUGUUUCAGGAGUCAUCCUGGUGGGGGCUUUCCUUACUUGUUGCUAUUAAAUCUUUCUUCACUCUUAGGUUGUGCUUCUUAGCUCUGUGCUCACCACCAGGGCCAACCAUUUAUUGGUUGCAAGAUGAUGAAGCAAUAAUUAUGGGAAAUAAGGGUAAUAACAAAGCUUAGGCAAAGUUACCAUUGUUGUAAAAAUUAGAAUUAACAUAUAAAACUUAGAAGAAACAUAUUUACACAAUAAGACGGAACUGAAAUUUUAUUAAUAUAAUGGAGGAUCUAAGGGAGAGAAAGCCCAAGGGGAGAGUGAGAUCCACAGUGAAGGAAGGUGUGGGAAGCCCUGUCAUUGGCUGCCACCUUACAUCUGCGGGCAGUACCACCUUAACACCUGCAGCACCACCUUGGCCUACCUAACUUGCUUGAUCUAUUCAGGAAUUAUGUUAAUCAGCCUGCCCUAUGAGCCCACACCCGGAAAUUUGAAUUGACCUAUAACCCUCGGUCCUGCCACUGUUGCUAAGUUACCUGCUGACGUCUCAGAACCCAAAUCCCUCCUCCUCAAUACCCUAUAUAUUUGUUACUCCUUCCGUGAAUAAACGAGACUUGAUUGGA